rnacentral:lncRNA from 1 species
CUGUUAGAAAAAUGCACAAACCAACACUCCUCAGGGCACCCAGCCUAGAUAUUUAGCAGCAACGACUGACUAUCUAAGUAUUGGAUAUCCAAGUCUCCAAAUAAGAUACUAGGAUCCAAGCUCCUAAGUGAUAGAUGAAUGCUUGAUGUUUAUUGAUCAAGAGAAUCAGCUACAUAUAGGCAGCAUCACCUGACUAGACAUGCACGAGUAUAACCGGUUUAUAGAAGUAAUACCCGGUGGUAAAGGAAGUGCAUCACCUGAUUAGGACUCUCCAACUAUAGCCAUGCGUGUACAAGGCAGGCCUAAAGCAAGGAAAGUAAUCAAUCUAAUUAUGGUAAUCCAAUCAAUCUAAUUAUGGUAAUCCAACACCCCCCCCCCCCCCGCAGUCUGAACGUGGUCAGCCACAAGGAAAAACAUUCAGACUGGACCUGAACUCCGUGAACACCGACGAAGGCAAUCCCUUAGUGAAGAUAUCAGCAUACUGGGAGGAAGUAGGAACAUGUAAAACUCGAACUGCACCGGCCGCAACUCGUUCUCGAACGAAAUGUAGAUCGAUCUCAAUGUGCUUCGUACGCUGAUGAUUCACUGGGUUCGAGGAGAGGUAGACUGCACUAACAUUAUCACAGAAGACAACAGUGGCGCGCUUCAGGGGAAUAUGCAUUUCCUGAAGGAGCUGUCGGAGCCAGGUGGUCUCAGCAACUGUGUUUGCCACCGCACGAUACUCUGCUUCAGCACUGGAACAGGAUACAGUGGGCUGACGCUUGGAUGACCACGAGACGAGGUUAUCACCAAGAAAAACAGCAAACCCAGAGGUCGACCGACCGGUGUCAGGACAACCGGCCCAAUCAGCAUCAGAGUAGGCAACCAUUGUGGAGACAUCCGUGGGACGAAGAUGAAGGCCAUGAUCCAACGUCCCAUGCAGGUAGCGAAGAAUACGUUUAAUCAACGUGUAAUGAGGUUCUCUAGGAUCAUGCAUGUGAAGACAAACUUGCUGAACACCAUAAGAAAUGUCAGGGCGAGUGAAAGUGAUAUAUUGUAGAGCACCGGCCAGACCCUGAUAGUGAGUCGGAUCAGUGACGGGUGGACCCUCAGUGCCAGAAAGCUUGCCACUCGUGUCAACAGGAGUAGAACAUGGCUUACAAUCGAUCAUACCUGCACGUUCAAGCACCUCAAGAAUAUACUCCCGCUGAGAAAGAUGAAAUCCAUCAGGAUGCCGAGUCACAGUGAGGCCUAGAAAAUGGUGCAAAGGGCCGAGGUCGGUCAUAGAAAAUUCUUGCUGUAGUGCUGUGAUCACCCACUGGAGAAGUGAGUCUGAAGAUGCUGUUAGUACAAUAUCAUCCACAUAGAGAAGUAAAUAGAUGUUGUCAUGGCCAUGGUGAUAUAUAAACAGAGAUGGGUCAGAUUUGGCACUCACAAAGCCAAGAGAAAGAAUGUGAGUGGCAAAACGACUGUACCAGGCACGAGGAGCUUGUUUCAACCCAUAAAGGGACUUGUUCAGGCGACAGACAUGAUCAGGCCGGGAGUUGUCAACAAAACCAGCAGGCUGUACACAAUAGAUAGUCUCAUCAAGGGUGCCAUGCAAGAACGCAUUCUUCACAUCGAGCUGAUGAACUGGCCAACUAUGGAAGAGAGCAACUGUGAGCACUGUACGAAUGGUGGCAGGUUUGACAACUGGACUAAAAGUCUCAUCAAAAUCAAUUCCAGGACGUUGAGUGAACCCGCGAAGAACCCAACGAGCCUUGUAUCGCUCCAGAGAACCAUCUGAGCGAAACUUGUGACGAUAAACCCAUUUGCCGGUCACAAUAUUUGCACCCGAAGGACGAGGAACCAAAUCCCAAGUAUUAUUCUUCUGGAGUGCAGAAAAUUCCUCAGAUAUAGCAGCCCUCCAGUUGGAAUCAGCUAGUGCCCCUCUGUAGGAUUUGGGUAUAGGAGACAAUGCAGCAGCAUGCAGAUCAAGCCGCACCUUUGGUUGACGAAAACCCCGUUUGCCACGCGUCAGCAUGGUGUGGUCAUUUGCAAGCGGUUGAACGGUGACUGCAUUGGGAGGUGUUGUCCCCUCGAUAAGCGGCAGCAAGCUGGGCAUAGAUGUGCCCUCAGAUAUGUUCCCUGAAGAAGGACCGGUAGUGCGGGCUGCAUCGGUCGUUGAAGGAGUAGCGCGCCCAGGCGCUCGUCCAGAUGAAGUGCUGGCGGUGUGGACGCUGUCCGCAGCAGACUCCGGAGAGGCGACUGCGGUGGAGGAGCCAGCCGGGACGAUGGCGCCAGAGGCCGAGGCAGACGCCGGGAUGGCACCUGAGUACGCAGGGUCGGUUGCAGCAGACGACGAUGUGGAGCCGGGAACCUCGGGGCACCGCUGGCAGCAACCUGGGGCGAGGGGCCAACAGGGGCAGCGGCGCGCGAAGUCGAAGUACCUGAAACACGUGAAAUACCACGAGAAACAAUAGGUGCAUCAUCCAACUCCGAUAGGAAGUCAAAGUUAGAUGAAGGAGGUGAGGAAACUUCGGCAAAAGGGAAUGAAGUCUCAUCAAAAAUAACAUGGCGCGAGAUAAUAAUUCUAUUGGUAGAAAGAUCGAGACAACGAUACCCUUUAUGUUCCGAGGGAUAGCCUAGAAAGACACAAGCGGCUGAGCGAGGUGCCAGCUUGUGUGGAGCGGUGGAGGAAAGGUUGGGAUAACAGCGACAACCGAAGACACGAAGAUGGUCAUAGGAGGGCUGAAGUUUGAAAAGGGCAAAGAAGGGUGUGGUGGAGGCUAGAGUUUUGGUGGGAUGACGAUUGAGAAGAUAGGUGGCAGUAUGAAGGGCCUCAACCCAAUAGGACGGGGGCAUGCUAGCUUGAAAAAGGAGGGAGCGAAGAAUAUUAGUGGUGGUACGAAUAAUUCGCUCGGCCUUGCCAUUUUGUGGUGAGGUAUGAGGACAAGACAUGCGGAGAGUGACACCAUGGGUAACAAAAAAUGUGCGGGAGGAGGAGUUAUCAAACUCGCGGCCAUUGUCGCACUGGACGCUUUUGAUGGUGACACCAAACUGAGUGGAGACAUAGGCGAAGAAUUUUGUGAGAGUGGAAAAUGUGUCAGACUUGAGACGCAAAGGAAAGGUCCAUAGGUAGUGAGAGCAAUCGUCAAGAAUGACUAAAUAAUAUUUGUAGCCAGAAAUACUAGGGACAGGGGAUGUCCAAAGAUCACAAUGUAUUAAAUCAAAAUUAUUGAUUGCUCGUGAACUGGAUGUGGGAAAGGGGAGACGUACAUGACGUCCUAAUUGACAAGCAUGACACAAGUGUUCAACAUCACUUUUAUUGCAAGUAAUAGCACACGAGGACACUAGGCUAGACAAAGCCUCACGACCAAGAUGUCCAAGACGCCGAUGCCAAAGAGUGGAUGAAGAGACGGCAGCAGUGAGUGCUAAUGGCCGAACAACUGAUGGCAAAAGUGGAUAUAGCGGCCCGGAACUAUUGCACCUGACGAUCACGUUCCGGGUUUGGAGGUCCUUCACAGAAAAGCCAGAAGGGUCAAAUUCAACCGAACAGCUAUUUUCAAUAGUGAAUUGACGAACGGAAAUAAGGUUUUUGAUGAGGUGCGGUGAAACAAGAACAUUAUGUAGGUGGAGGGUACCACAUGUGGCAGGAAAAGUGACAGAGCCAGUAUGAGUGACAGGUAAAAGGGAACCGUUGCCGACAACAAUAUUGGAUGGAGUAGAAAAAGAAGGAGUUUGAGAGGAGCAAAGAUUACCGGAGUUGGAUGUCAUAUGAGUUUCGGCACCUGUAUCCAUAUACCAUUCUUGAGUUGGCGGUGGCUGGAGGGUCAUCGUGUUGAAGUUUGAAGCCAGCAUGUUUGUGUCCCACGAGAAACCGCCAGGGUUGUGCAGCCAGCCGGGAGGUGGUGGACUGGCACCAGCGAAUCCAGGGGAAGCCGGCAGGGGUGGGCCAGGCGAAGGUGGCCCAGCCAUCGGAGGCGGCCCAGGCAGCACCGAGGGCCCGCCAUAGAGGGCUUGCGGAUGAGGGCCAGGCGCGCGAGGCGGGACACCCGGUGGGCCGGCCCAGUACGCCUGGAACGUGCCAAAGGCCGGCUGCCAGUUAGCAGGCCGUGGCGGCUGGCUAGCCCAAGGCGCAGGAGAACCAGCCCAAGGCGCGUUAGGGCCAGUCCAAGACGCAGGAGCGCGGCCACCAGGAGUCUUCUUGCCGCCGCCACGCCUGGUCUGCUUGCGGCCACCGCCUGUGCCGCCGGAGUUGACCGGUGGCAGCACAAGGGAAGGGGGAGUCGAGGCAGCAAAAGCCUGAGGCGACUGCGUAGGCUUGGCAGCCAUGUUGAUUUCGGCGAGCCGAAGAUCAGACUUUACUUCGGCGAACGUCGGGAAUGGACGCUGGCGCUGAAUCAGCGCACCGAGGUAGGAGAACCUGUCGUUGAGGCCGCGAAGGACGUUGAGAACCAGCGUACGGUCACGAACAGGUUCGCCAAGAUCCGCAAGCUGGUCAGCCAUGGACUUGAGUCGGUGGCAGUAAUCGGAGAUGGACAGGCUGCCUUGGACGAAGUUGCGGAACUCGGCGUCGAGAAGAAGAGCGCGACUCUCCUUGUUCCCUAUGAACUGCUGCUCAAGGCCAAGCCACACAAGACGAGCAGUGGGAGGACCAUCUUCCCGGUUCAUGACAACCUCGAGGAGCUCGGGAUUGAUUGUGUCGUAGAGCCAGGACAAGACGGUGCAAUCCAUGCGUUUCCACAUGGCGUCAUUGGAGCGGUCGUCGUCGGAGAGCACAUGAUCAACGAGCGCAUAACGCUCGAGAGUGUUGAGGAAGAGGCCACGCCAUCGGUUGAAGUGCGGCGACGUGAAGUCGAGGACGAUGGGAACGAGAGACUUGACGUUGAGGAUCGCCGCUGCUUGAGCAUGAAGAGCAGCAGUAGCCGCAGCAACUUCGCCGGCAGCGACCAAGGCAUGGGCGUCGGCAUCGCGUCGCUCCUGCUCCAGGUGCGCAGCGUCACGGCGCUCGGCCUCGAGGCGCGCAGCCUCCAGGCGCGCAGCUUCUUGGCGGGCAGCCUCGCGGCGUUCUUCAGCAGUGAAAGCAGCAACACGCUGCUCCAAAGCACGACGGGCAGCAGCGGCAGCAUCAUCGUCGGCCAUCGUGUCGAGGUGGCGUGGCGGCGUGGGUUAAAGAAUGCGGAAGCUAUGGUUCGGAAAGAACCCGAUUGAUACCAUGAUAGAUGAAUGCUUGAUGUUUAUUGAUCAAGAGAAUCAGCUACAUAUAGGCAGCAUCACCUGACUAGACAUGCACGAGUAUAACCGGUUUAUAGAAGUAAUACCCGGUGGUAAAGGAAGUGCAUCACCUGAUUAGGACUCUCCAACUAUAGCCAUGCGUGUACAAGGCAGGCCUAAAGCAAGGAAAGUAAUUAAUCUAAUUAUGGUAAUCCAAUCAAUCUAAUUGUG